UACGAAGGGGGCUAGCGUUGCUCGGAAUCACUGGGCGUAAAGCGCACGUAGGCGGAUUGCUAAGUCAGGGGUGAAAUCCUGGAGCUCAACUCCAGAACUGCCUUUGAUACUGGCGACCUUGAGUCCGGGAGAGGUGAGUGGAACUGCGAGUGUAGAGGUGAAAUUCGUAGAUAUUCGCAAGAACACCGGUGGCGAAGGCGGCAUCCUGGACCGAGAUUGACGCUGAGGCGCGAAAGCCAGGGGAGCAAACGGG
rnacentral:rRNA from 1 species